GACGAACGCUGGCGGCGUGCUUAACACAUGCAAGUCGAACGGAAAGGCCCUGCUUUUGUGGGGUGCUCGAGUGGCGAACGGGUGAGUAACACGUGAGUAACCUGCCCUUGACUUUGGGAUAACUUCAGGAAACUGGGGCUAAUACCGGAUAGGAGCUCCUGCUGCAUGGUGGGGGUUGGAAAGUUUCGGCGGUUGGGGAUGGACUCGCGGCUUAUCAGCUUGUUGGUGGGGUAGUGGCUUACCAAGGCUUUGACGGGUAGCCGGCCUGCGCGGGUGACCGGCCACAUUGGGACUGAGAUACGGCCCAGACUCCUACGGGAGGCAGCAGUGGGGAAUAUUGCACAAUGGGCGGAAGCCUGAUGCAGCAACGCCGCGUGCGGGAUGACGGCCUUCGGGUUGUAAACCGCUUUCGCCUGUGACGAAGCGUGAGUGACGGUAAUGGGUAAAGAAGCACCGGCUAACUACGUG
rnacentral:rRNA from 1 species